AUAUGGUCAAGUGAAGAAGCGCAUACGGUGGAUGCCUUGGCAGUCAGAGGCGAUGAAAGACGUGGUAGCCUGCGAAAAGCUUCGGGGAGUCGGCAAACAGACUUUGAUCCGGAGAUGUCUGAAUGGGGGAACCCAGCCAUCAUAAGAUGGUUACCUUACACUGAAUACAUAGGUGUAUGGAGCGAACCAGGGGAACUGAAACAUCUAAGUACCCUGAGGAAAAGAAAUCAACCGAGAUUCCCUUAGUAGUGGCGAGCGAACGGGGACUAGCCCUUAAGUGGCUUUGAGAUUAGCGGAACGCUCUGGAAAGUGCGGCCAUAGUGGGUGAUAGCCCUGUACGCGAAAAUCUCUUAGUCAUGAAAUCGAGUAGGACGGAGCACGAGAAACUUUGUCUGAAUAUGGGGGGACCAUCCUCCAAGGCUAAAUACUACUGACUGACCGAUAGUGAACUAGUACCGUGAGGGAAAGGCGAAAAGAACCCCGGAGAGGGGAGUGAAAUAGAUCCUGAAACCGUAUGCGUACAAGCAGUGGGAGCCCACUUUGUUGGGUGACUGCGUACCUUUUGUAUAAUGGGUCAGCGACUUAUUUUCAGUGGCGAGCUUAACCGAAUAGGGGAGGCGUAGCGAAAGCGAGUCUUAAUAGGGCGUCUAGUCGCUGGGAAUAGACCCGAAACCGGGCGAUCUAUCCAUGGGCAGGUUGAAGGUUGGGUAACACUAACUGGAGGACCGAACCGACUACCGUUGAAAAGUUAGCGGAUGACCUGUGGAUCGGAGUGAAAGGCUAAUCAAGCUCGGAGAUAGCUGGUUCUCCUCGAAAGCUAUUUAGGUAGCGCCUCAUGUAUCACUGUAGGGGGUAGAGCACUGUUUCGGCUAGGGGGUCAUCCCGACUUACCAAACCGAUGCAAACUCCGAAUACCUACAAGUGCCGAGCAUGGGAGACACACGGCGGGUGCUAACGUCCGUCGUGAAAAGGGAAACAACCCAGACCGUCAGCUAAGGUCCCAAAGUUAUGGUUAAGUGGGAAACGAUGUGGGAAGGCUUAGACAGCUAGGAGGUUGGCUUAGAAGCAGCCACCCUUUAAAGAAAGCGUAAUAGCUCACUAGUCGAGUCGGCCUGCGCGGAAGAUGUAACGGGGCUCAAACCAUACACCGAAGCUACGGGUAUCACGUAAGUGAUGCGGUAGAGGAGCGUUCUGUAAGCCUGUGAAGGUGAGUUGAGAAGCUUGCUGGAGGUAUCAGAAGUGCGAAUGCUGACAUGAGUAACGACAAUGGGUGUGAAAAACACCCACGCCGAAAGACCAAGGUUUCCUGCGCAACGUUAAUCGACGCAGGGUUAGUCGGUCCCUAAGGCGAGGCUGAAAAGCGUAGUCGAUGGAAAACAGGUUAAUAUUCCUGUACUUCUGGUUAUUGCGAUGGAGGGACGGAGAAGGCUAGGCCAGCUUGGCGUUGGUUGUCCAAGUUUAAGGUGGUAGGCUGAGAUCUUAGGUAAAUCCGGGAUCUUAAGGCCGAGAGCUGAUGACGAGUCGUCUUUUAGACGACGAAGUGGUUGAUGCCAUGCUUCCAAGAAAAGCUUCUAAGCUUCAGGUAACCAGGAACCGUACCCCAAACCGACACAGGUGGUUGGGUAGAGAAUACCAAGGCGCUUGAGAGAACUCGGGUGAAGGAACUAGGCAAAAUGGCACCGUAACUUCGGGAGAAGGUGCGCCGGUGAGGGUGAAGGACUUGCUCCGUAAGCUCAUGCCGGUCGAAGAUACCAGGCCGCUGCGACUGUUUAUUAAAAACACAGCACUCUGCAAACACGAAAGUGGACGUAUAGGGUGUGACGCCUGCCCGGUGCCGGAAGGUUAAUUGAUGGGGUUAGCUAACGCGAAGCUCUUGAUCGAAGCCCCGGUAAACGGCGGCCGUAACUAUAACGGUCCUAAGGUAGCGAAAUUCCUUGUCGGGUAAGUUCCGACCUGCACGAAUGGCGUAACGAUGGCGGCGCUGUCUCCACCCGAGACUCAGUGAAAUUGAAAUCGCUGUGAAGAUGCAGUGUAUCCGCGGCUAGACGGAAAGACCCCGUGAACCUUUACUAUAGCUUUGCACUGGACUUUGAAUUUGCUUGUGUAGGAUAGGUGGGAGGCUUUGAAGCGUGGACGCCAGUCUGCGUGGAGCCAACCUUGAAAUACCACCCUGGCAACUUUGAGGUUCUAACUCAGGUCCGUUAUCCGGAUCGAGGACAGUGUAUGGUGGGUAGUUUGACUGGGGCGGUCUCCUCCUAAAGAGUAACGGAGGAGUACGAAGGUGCGCUCAGACCGGUCGGAAAUCGGUCGUAGAGUAUAAAGGCAAAAGCGCGCUUGACUGCGAGACAGACACGUCGAGCAGGUACGAAAGUAGGUCUUAGUGAUCCGGUGGUUCUGUAUGGAAGGGCCAUCGCUCAACGGAUAAAAGGUACUCCGGGGAUAACAGGCUGAUACCGCCCAAGAGUUCAUAUCGACGGCGGUGUUUGGCACCUCGAUGUCGGCUCAUCACAUCCUGGGGCUGAAGCCGGUCCCAAGGGUAUGGCUGUUCGCCAUUUAAAGUGGUACGCGAGCUGGGUUUAGAACGUCGUGAGACAGUUCGGUCCCUAUCUGCCGUGGACGUUUGAGAUUUGAGAGGGGCUGCUCCUAGUACGAGAGGACCGGAGUGGACGAACCUCUGGUGUUCCGGUUGUCACGCCAGUGGCAUUGCCGGGUAGCUAUGUUCGGAAUAGAUAACCGCUGAAAGCAUCUAAGCGGGAAACUAGCCUCAAGAUGAGAUCUCACUGGAACCUUGAGUUCCCUGAAGGGCCGUCGAAGACUACGACGUUGAUAGGUUGGGUGUGUAAGCGCUGUGAGGCGUUGAGCUAACCAAUACUAAUUGCCCGUGAGGCUUGACCAU
rnacentral:rRNA from 1 species